GGAGUACGUUCGCAGAAUGAACUCAAGGAAUUGACGGGACCCGCACAAGCGUUGGAGCAUGUGUUAUUCGAAGCACGCGAAGAACCUACCAGUCUGACAUCCAACUGACAGAGGAAGUAUGUUCCUUUCCUUCGGGACAGUUGAGACAGUGUGCAUGUUGUCGUCAGCUCGUGUCGUGAGAUGUUGGGUUAAGUCCCGCAACGAGCGCAACCCCUAUCUUUAGUAGCCAGCGGUUCGGCCGGGCACUCUAGAGAGACUGCCGGGGAUAACCCGGAGGAAGGUGGGGAUGACGUCAAAUCAUCAUGCCCCUUAUGAUUUGGGCUACACACGUGCUACAAUGGCGUAAACAAAGGGAAGCGACGCUGUGAAGCUGAGCAAAUCCCAAAAAUAACGUCUCAGUUCGGAUUGUAGUCUGCAACUCGACUACAUGAAGCUGGAAUCGCUAGUAAUCGCGAAUCAGAAUGUCGCGGUGAAUACGUUCCCGGGUCUUGUACACACCGCCCGUCACACCAUGGGAGUCGGAAAUGCCCGAAGUACGUGACUUAACCGUAAGGAGAGAGCGUCCGAAGGCAGGUCGGAUAACUGGGGUG
rnacentral:rRNA from 1 species